UGUGAUCUGCAGUGAUGGGGAAAUGUGACGUCUUAUGAUUGUUCCCGUCUCUCAGUGUCUCCUUCUAUCUCUGGGUGUCCUCCAUCCUCACCCAUGUAGAAUCUUCCAUCACCUGUCCUCUUAUCAUGUCUUCUCCUCUCUCUGAGGGAAUCUUUCUCUUUUUAUAAUCUCAUCCAUGGAAUUUGGGGUUCCCCUUAUAGUAGAAGAGUGACCAGGCUCUGUACAUAUGGAAUGACCCUCCAUAUUCCUAACAAGCAGGAAAUAGGAUGGAAUAGAAACCCUUAGGACUCGCUCACACGUGUGAUGAUGAUGAAGAAGGAAGCAAUGCUCAGUAACAAUUCUAUGACAUUUAUGAUGUGUCUUCAUUGUGUUUAUGAAGCUCUGAAAACACUAUAAGAAUGCUGGAUAAAUGUCCGGGGGAGGGGUUGCUUUUCUUGUGGGAGUAGCCUAAAGGGGGAGUGAUGUAGAGGAAAUGAUCUCCUCUGAUAUGUGGAUUUCUGAUAUGUGAAUCUUGGAUACCAUGUAUGGGAACCUCCACCAGACCUGUGUCUCCUGUCCUCCAAACACACCCACAGCCGGCAGACUCACCAUAACCAGCCCUUAAUCCCUAAAUCACGAGACAAGCCACAUAGGUGUUGAGGGUUAAAUAUGCAGAGCACAAACUGUUUAUUAAGUACCAAACAUUCACUUUUAAACAUAGUUAGGGACACUCCCCUUAGCCUUGUCAUAGAGGGGGUAGGGACAAGGAAGAAUCAAUGGAAACUCAACACUUGUAUAAUCAAAC